GUGCUCACUUUGGCAGCAUAUAUAAUAAAAUUGGAACGAUGCAGAGAAAGUUAGCAUGGCUCCUGCAAAGAAUGACAUGCAGAUUGGGGAAACAUUCCUUAAUUAA